UCCUACNGGGNAGCAGCAGUAGGGAAUCUUCCGCAAUGGACGAAAGUCUGACGGAGCAACGCCGCGUGAGUGAUGAAGGUUUUCGGAUCGUAAAGCUCUGUUGUUAGGGAAGAACAAGUACCGUUCGAAUAGGGCGGUACCUUGACGGUACCUAACCAGAAAGCCACGGCUAACUACGUGCCAGCAGCCGCGGUAAUACGUAGGUGGCAAGCGUUGUCCGGAAUUAUUGGGCGUAAAGGGCUCGCAGGCGGUUUCUUAAGUCUGAUGUGAAAGCCCCCGGCUCAACCGGGGAGGGUCAUUGGAAACUGGGGAACUUGAGUGCAGAAGAGGAGAGUGGAAUUCCACGUGUAGCGGUGAAAUGCGUAGAGAUGUGGAGGAACACCAGUGGCGAAGGCGACUCUCUGGUCUGUAACUGACGCUGAGGAGCGAAAGCGUGGGGAGCGAACAGGAUUAGAUACCCUGGUAGUCCACGCCGUAAACGAUGAGUGCUAAGUGUUAGGGGGUUUCCGCCCCUUAGUGCUGCAGCUAACGCAUUAAGCACUCCGCCUGGGGAGUACGGUCGCAAGA
rnacentral:rRNA from 1 species